rnacentral:sRNA from 1 species
UGGUUUAAAAUUGAUGUAUAAAAUGCAGUGGAUGUUGAACUUUUUUUUACUGCA